GGGUCAGUAGGUUGGUCGUGCCACCGGUACGUACUGGUCUCACUGAUUCCUCCUUCCUGAAGAACCGUAAUGCCAUUAAUUUGGUGUUGCGGGGAAACAGGACUGUUAAUUUGAAAAAAUUAGAGUGUUUAAAGCAAGCUAACGCUUGAAUACAUUAGCAUGGAAUAAUGAACUAGGACGAUCGAUCCUAUUUUGUUGGUUUCUAGGAUUGACGUA
rnacentral:rRNA from 1 species